GCACUGCUGAGGAGUCCCAUAGUGGGACGAAACGGCUGUCUAGUGC
rnacentral:hammerhead_ribozyme from 1 species